rnacentral:rRNA from 1 species
UACAGAGGUCUCGAGCGUUAGGCGGAAUCACUGGGCUUAAAGCGUGUGUAGGCGGAUUGGUAAGUACCUUGUGAAAUCCCACAGCUUAACUGUGGAGCUGCUUGGUAUACUGCCAGUCUUGAGCCAGCUAGGGGCUACCGGAACAAAUGGUGGAGCGGUGAAAUGCGUAGAUAUCAUUUGGAACGCCAAUGGUGAAAACAGGUAGCUGGGGCUGUGCUGACGCUGAGACACGAAAGCCAGGGGAGCAAACGGG